GAUACACAGAUGCAUUAAUCUUUUAUCUUAACACUUUGGCCAGAAAACUGCAAUGUUUAGCAGCACCAUCAGUGACCUGAAGCAUUCUAGCAUGCCUGUGAUGCAUCUGACAUCUGCAAGUUGCUGCUUGUAUACUUCAAGAAAAUCUUUGAUUCAGGAAAAGAAUAAACCUAUUACUUGAUUCUUAUGGAAGCCCGGCUCCUCCAGGGAUAAAAAAAAACAUGGAAUCGCGUAUCUAAAGAAGUAACGACAUGUCUUGCGUUGUACAGCUUUUCAGCUAAAUAUAUUUAUCACGACAGCCGGCUGGAUGUGCCAAAAAAUAAAUAAAAAC
rnacentral:lncRNA from 1 species